UACGAAGGGGGCUAGCGUUGCUCGGAAUCACUGGGCGUAAAGCGCACGUAGGCGGACUCUUAAGUCAGGGGUGAAAUCCUGGAGCUCAACUCCAGAACUGCCUCUGAUACUGGGAGUCUUGAGUUCGGGAGAGGUGAGUGGAACUGCGAGUGUAGAGGUGAAAUUCGUAGAUAUUCGCAAGAACACCAGUGGCGAAGGCGGCUCACUGGCCCGGAUACUGACGCUGAGGUGCGAAAGCGUGGGGAGCAAACAGGG
rnacentral:rRNA from 1 species